AAGCUAGUAGGUGGCAAAUUGGUUUUUGAAGCCUCAAGAGCAUUUCCCCUGUAAGGCUGAAUGUAGUUGAAAAUAACAGCAUGGCUUGAUGUCAUGGGGGGUGUAGGGAGGAGGUGGAAAACAUCUACCUUAGAGGCAGUUUCCAAGUGAAUUGUUUGUUCUUUUCCAUCUGUCUUCAGGGACUCUUCAGCAUAGUUCCUAAAAGUGAAAGCAGAGUCAGCCCUAAUGACUCGCUGCCUACCAUAAAGGCUUACAGAGUGCUGCUGUUCCAGAUACAACUACAACUGCACCCUGAAGUACAGUCUACUUCUGUAACAGCUCUUUGUGAGCAAGCCCAACUGUUCCUGAGCCAAACAUACCUAAGGGGUCGGUACUUGGUGCUUCUUUGAGGAUCCAGUUGAUGUAGGCACGUUCCAAAGACAUGUUUAUGCACAGAUGGACUAAACAGUUCACUGUUAAAUCUACAGUUUGUUGAGAUAUGCUAUAACUACCUCCUUCUGGAUGACCAAUGUGUAUUUUAACUGAUUGUAUCGGAAACUAAGUCUCCGACUUCCCAUUCAUUCCAGCUGGUAGCAACGCUUAUAAUGCAAAAAAAUCACAAUUCAGGAUCCCAGAAACAUUACUCUUAAAACUUUCUAGAUGAUUGUAGUUGCUUUGGUUGUGUUCUAUGCUAGCAGAAGCCUUUUUCAAGGUUUACUAUUGACUCUAGAGCACCACAUUCCCCAUUUACUGGGAGCCCUCGGGGCUGGCAAUAUGGGAAACUCAUGUGUUUGCCGUGAUGACAGUGGAGCAGAAGACAACGUGGAAUCUCGGAGUCGGCAAACGGAGAACAGUAGAGUACAUGUACCUGAAGCAAGAAGCCACGCAAGGGACUCUGUCCGUCCACCCAGAAGGGGUCGAGGGCCUCAUGAACCAAGAAGGAAAAAACAGAAUGUGGAUGGGCUAGUACUUGACACACUGGCUGUAAUUCGGACGUUAGUAGAUAAUGACCAGGAGCCUCCUUAUUCAAUGAUCACAUUGCAUGAAAUGGCAGAAACAGGAAAACACAUUUUCUUUAGACCACCAGGCAUGGGACAAGCUAAUGCAGUUCCUCAGAGGCCCAUGUCUUCCCCCUUGAGGGAACGUGGGAAGAGUCCUCCAAUUCUUGCUAGAAGAAAUACUUCCUCAGUGUCAUCAUGGAUGCAGCAUUUAACACAUGAAGGCUGGUUGGAAGUUGUCCAAUCUUUAAUUAGAGUUAUUCCAUUAGAAGAUCCCCUGGGACCAGCUGUUAUAACGCUGCUACUUGAUGAAUGUCCGCUGCCAACAAAAGAUGCAUUACAGAAGUUAACUGAAAUAUUAAACUUAAGUGGAGCUGCUGCUUGCCAGGAUGCUUGUCACCCUGCCAGACACCGGAAUACAACAGCCGUGCUGGGCUGCUUAGCAGAGAAGUUAGCAGGUCCUGCAAGUAUAGGCUUACUCAGCCCAGGCAUAUUGGAAUAUUUACUUCAGAGCCUGAACUUCCAGUCCCAUCCGACAGUGAUGCUUUUUGCACUAAUAGCACUGGAGAAGUUUGCACAAACAAGUGAAAAUAAAAUGACAGUUUCUCAAUCGUGUAUUAGCGACCAGCUGAUCCUGCUCGAGAAAUGGGCAGAUAAUCCAGACUAUUUAAAACGCCAGGUUGGGUUCUGCGCCCAGUGGAGUUUAGACAAUCUGUUUUUAAAAGAAGGCAGGCAGUUCACAUAUGAGAAGGUUGACUUGACCGACAUUAGGGCUAUGCUGAACAGUAAUGAUGUCAGUGAAUACCUGAAGAUCUCUCCACAUGGAUUAGAGGCUCGAUGUGAUGCCUCAUCCUUUGAAAGUGUUAGAUGUACAUUCUGCGUCGAUUCUGGAGUUUGGUACUAUGAAGUUACAGUUAUUACUUCAGGAGUGAUGCAGAUAGGAUGGGCUACCAGAGACAGCAAAUUUCUUAAUCAUGAAGGUUAUGGCAUUGGGGAUGAUGAAUACUCCUGUGCCUAUGAUGGCUGCCGGCAGCUGAUUUGGUAUAAUGCCAGAAGUAAACCACAUUCCCAUCCCUGUUGGAAAGAAGGAGACACAAUAGGAUUUCUACUAGACUUGCACGAAAAGCAAAUGAUCUUCUAUUUAAAUGGAAACCAGCUUCCUGCUGAGAAGCAAGUAUUUUCAUCUGCUAUGUAAGUAUGUGCUCACUUGGAAGGACAGUGACCUGCACGAUAAUUGUUUUAAUUACACGAAGUGUUUCUGAUGUCACAUGCAUAUUCAUAUUUGCUUACUUGAAGCCAUCAUUAAGCAGGUUUCCCAAUUGAAAGUGGCUUAGAAAUCAGUGAGAAGGGUAUAAUUUUACAGGUGGCUGUGAAGAAAAGACGGCUGCCCUGAGGUAAUCCUGCAAGGGCAAGGAGGAGCAGAUGGGCAUUGUGCUAAGAGUGCUCAGACCUGGAUUCAUCCUGUACAAGACCCACACAAGCGUAUGAGCAUUGCAAGCUUUCCAGGUUCCUGCCUGCUCAAAUAAAGCAGAGGGAGCAGUGGAUAUGGAGGUGUCCCUUGUGGCUGGUACUGCCUCUCACAGCUCUGCUAAACAGCAGUUGUUUGGAAGAAAAAUACUUUUUUCCAGUGCUGAAGGAGAUAUCUGAGCUGAUCAGUGUAAAGAGGAUCGGGCUGUAGGCUGUUCGGAUGGAUGUAUCUGCUCUUAGUGUAAGUGUGACUAAUCCUAACUGUAGAGUAGGCAGCCUUUAUUGGCUCACUCAAGAGUAAAUUCAGCUAAACUCUGAUAGUAAAUUCAGAAGCCGAGAACUAAAUAAGGUAAACAUGUGCAGCUGUAAUUGGGUGCGUUAGAGGCUUUUCUUGCAAUUAGCUGUAGAACUUCUAUUGAAGGAACUUGUGUCUCUGUUUCAGGGUAUAUUUUUGUCUGGUAAUAGUAGUAACAUGUCUGGAAAGCUCUCCUAUUGUUUGUUAUUCUAAAAUGUCUGUUCCUCAUAUUGCAGAUCUGGCUUUUUUGCUGCAGCUAGUUUCAUGUCCUAUCAACAAUGUGAGUUCAACUUUGGGGCAAAACCUUUCAAGUACCCACCAUCAAUGAAGUUUAGUACCUUUAAUGAUUAUGCCUUUCUGACAGCAGAAGAGAAGAUCAUUUUGCCCAGACACAGGCGCCUGGCUUUGUUGAAGCAAGUGAGUAUCCGAGAGAAUUGCUGCACACUUUGCUGCGAUGAGGUAGCAGACACAGAACUCAGGCCGUGUGGACACAGUGACCUGUGUAUGGAGUGUGCCUUGCAGCUGGAGACCUGCCCUUUGUGUCGACAGGAGAUACAAACCCGAGUCAGACAGAUCUCUCACAUUUCAUGACACGUGGAGAAAUACCGCAGACUUGUUUUCAAUGAAUUCAAACCAAUGCUGAAAGGGGAAAGAAUCUCUGACCAAUCUUUACGCACAUAAAACCAUAGCCACGGCCAGAUUUCAUGCUAACCUGUUAUCUCUUAAUCUUACAAACGAAAUCUUCAAUAAGCUAUUUCAAGUUGCCAGCAAUGGGAACUGGUUUCAAGAAUAAGAAGAGCUGGUAGGUCAGUGUGCUAUGGCUGUUGGUUCCUCCAAGCAAGACCAUAGGAGAGUGUCUCUCUUCUUCCCCCUUUCCUUCUCGCCUGUCGCAAGUGCUGAAAAAAUUUGCACUGGAAGUACACGUACAAUGCAUUUUAGAAAAGAAAAGAAGAGCAAAUAAGUAUCUCCUAAACCAGGGCUGUUCUGUCUUGUGCUCGAAAGGCUCUAUUUUUGGCAGAAGUCAGUACUAAAAAGAGAAUGCCAAUGUUUUCCUGUUCAAUGUAGCCUCCUGCUGGUCAGAGACUCUGUAUUUUCCGACAGUGGAUAUUAAACUGCUCAAAGACUUAAUCCAUACACAGGCUGAUUUGAAAAGACAGUGUGGAGACCAGAGAGAAACUCACGUUUUAAUAACCUGGUGAUUCCAAAGAAUGUUCUCAUUGUCUUUAAAUGUUAAAAGAUUGUUGGUAUUUUCAAGUUUCUGAUGCUUUUAACUUCAGUACCCACAUUUUUUUGUGAGGAUAUAAUUUUCAGGAGGUAUUCUUAACUAAUUGUAACAUUGGACUGGAAUUAAUUUGAUAUUCUGGGUAUUUUUAAGGUAUCAUCAAACGUCUUUUUUUAUCAGUGUUGGUUUUGAAAGUUAUAUUCACUUUAGAAAUAUUGAGCUAUCUUAAAAGAUUGGAGGAUAAUUUGGGGCCAGUUUAUUUUAAGAAGUGUUAUUUGGACAGGAAGUUGGGUCUUACUCUGUAACUCUUUAAAAAUGCACCUUGCUUGCCACGUGUCAGCCCUGCUCUGAGCACAUUUGGGGCCACACUUGAUGGUUUUGGUAGGGAUCACCCAGUGGGAAUCUCUGCUCCACUUCAGUUACACACCUGUGACCUUUAUAUGUUAAGGAUGCAUUUCAGCAGGCAGCUCUUGAAUGUUUUACUAGGUUCCUAGAAGGAAUUAGGGUUCAUAGCUGGUGUCAGUGAAGUAGCGCAAAACUCGGUGGAGUUAUGCUUCUUGGCAGUGAUUCAACAGCAGAGUAUGUUGCAGUGAAUUCUCAUGCUGCGAUGUAUCUUAUCUUUAAAAUAACUUAUCUUUAUUGUACUGUCAAGUAGUAACACAGUAGAGCUGAGGCUGCUUCUUCCUGCUCAGCACUCUUGAUUCCUACUAACCUAAAUAGGAGCAAAGAGGUCUGCACGCAGGUCCCGGAAUCAAGCUCUCUAAAGGUAGCUGUUUCACCUGCUGCCUUCGCUAAUGCAAGGGUGCUGAAUUUCAUCCAGAGAUACACAUUAGGGAAAAAAAAAAGGGGGGGAGGGGGGAGGAAGUGUUUCUCUUGAACCUCUGGAGUACAAUGUGUGAAAUUAGGACAGUUCUGUCCAUCAUUUUUUCUUUACUUUUUUCUAAAUACAGACUGAAUCCAAGACUGGAGAGCUGGUUAGUCUUUUUGCUAAAAUGAGAAUUCUCUUCUGCCUUGAAUGCCUGUUUUGAUUAGUCAGACUGGCAAAUCUGUGCUGCAGGGACCUUCUUUCCUUGCUGUGACUGUACUUUACGAGGUUUUGCUGUAAUCCAUGUUACUGGUCAGGGCCAAGUCUCUCCCUGCUCGCUGCUCAAUGGGCAAAUGUUAACACCAUCACUGCCAUGAGGAUGUUAGGAUUUCAGAACCACUUGAAAUGAAGUUUUUCAAUGCUUCCAAAUGCAAUGAUAGGUUUUUACCCUAGAAACCAUACUUUAGGGAAGAAGUGGGACAGACCCAUUUUGAACUCUGCCUUAAUUAAGAUUUUAGGAACUUCAGGGCUUUGGUUUCCCUGGCCAGGAUUAACUGAGGUAAAAUUUUCAGAAGCACAGAAGUGCCUAGGACUCCACAUUCCCAUCAACUGAUGUAUGAGAUUAAGCAUUUAAGGCUCAGGUCCACAAUGGCUUCAAGGUGUCUGGUGUCCCUUUGAACAGGAGGUGACUGAAGAGCCUCGCUGCCUCUGUGGACACGGGACUAAGUGCCUGCGUUCUUUGUUGGAAAGAUGUGAAUGCUUUGAAAAUUUUGCCCCAGAUUGUCUUCCAUGUAGCUGGUGCUGUGCAGAGAAAGCCAGCAGAGAUGGAGGAGAAAGCUGUGUCCUAGAGAACUGUCCUGUUCAUUUCACAAACGGAAAGAUUGCACCACUCCGGCUGGCUUUUUGCUGGAAUUCACGAUGGGGAUGUCUUUGUAAAGCUUGAUCGUCCACCACUGCUGCACUGUCCCCCUCAGUGCCUGCACUCUCCAAAGGCUCUGGGACUGGGGAGGGGAGGCAGUGGCUCCACAGGCCCUCAGGAAGGGAAAGAAAUUGUAGUGAAGUCGUCCAUUCAACAAUAAAGUCUUUGAAAGCCA